rnacentral:antisense_RNA from 1 species
CCAACGACCAAAGCAAAGGACAGCAUAACUGAAUGACACAUUGCUCAGAAAAUAUCCAAAGCUCUGUACGCUCUGGAAAGGAAGGCAAGAAUUGCUAAAGACUCUGGAUAUUGCUCUGUUUCUAUAAGGUCCCACCCAUAUACCAUCUCUUCUUUUGGAUUUCCUUUGGCAGUAACCUGAAGUUAUAUAAGUGGCAUGUUGCCAAGUACAAAGGGAGCCCUUCUAUUGCUUCUGCUUACAAAGAGGUGUCAACGUAAGAAAAAGCCAGAACAAGUCAAAGUUCAGGGUUCCCUUGUAUGGAAGUUCUCGGGAGAACAACACUCUCAGAGUCCCAUUGUCUCAAAGAAUUCUUAAUGGACAGCUAUACUUGGCCCCAAGGUUCCAACCUCACAUUGAAGAAAGUGACAUAAGAAAACACAAGUCCCAGCGCUAUCAGGGGCUAUCUGGAAAAGCUGCUUAAACGGCAAGUGAAAGAAGGCUCUCCCCUACCCCGUUCUAGUUAUAAACGUCACAUCUCUUAAAAUACAGCCAAGGUGAUGAAGCUGAUGGAGUAUGAUGGUGUUCAAACUUACAUAAGCUAAUUCAAUAGACAACUAGAAAUGCCAAUGAGUCUACCACUCACCCUGAAGUUAUUUGAAGGAUCCUUGAAACUCUUUUGGAUUGCUGCUUGGAGAACAUUCCUGUAACUUGUUCCUGCUCCUUGAACUAUAAAAGCAGAAGGGAAUUACUGAGUU